GGACGAACGCUGGCGGGCGUGCUUAACACAUGCAAGUCGAACGAAGAGUACGGGAGAGCUUGCUCGAAGGUAUCUGAGUGGCGGACGGGUGAGUAACGCGUGAACAAUCUGUCUCAUACAGGGGGAUAACGCGUCGAAAGACGUGCUAAUACCGCGUAGGACCACGGAGUCGCAUGGCUCUGGGGUGAAAGGGGCAAUCCGGUAUGAGGUGAGUUCGCGUCUGAUUAGAUAGUUGGUGAGGUAACGGCCCACCAAGUCAACGAUCAGUAGCCGACCUGAGAGGGUGAUCGGCCACAUUGGGACUGAGACACGGCCCAGACUCCUACGGGAGGCAGCAGUGGGGAAUAUUGGGCAAUGGGCCGAAAGCCUGACCCAGCAACGCCGCGUGAGGGAAGAAAGUUUUCGGAUUGUAAACCUCUGUCCUACAUGAAGAGUUAGAGACGGUAGUGUAGGAGGAAGCCCCGGCUAACUACGUGCCAGCCGCCGC
rnacentral:rRNA from 1 species